GACGAACGCUGGCGGCGUGCUUAACACAUGCAAGUCGAACGGAAAGGCCCUGCUUUUGUGGGGUGCUCGAGUGGCGAACGGGUGAGUAACACGUGAGUAACCUGCCCUUGACUUUGGGAUAACUUCAGGAAACUGGGGCUAAUACCGGAUAGGAGCUCCUGCUGCAUGGUGGGGGUUGGAAAGUUUCGGCGGUUGGGGAUGGACUCGCGGCUUAUCAGCUUGUUGGUGGGGUAGUGGCUUACCAAGGCUUUGACGGGUAGCCGGCCUGAGAGGGUGACCGGCCACAUUGGGACUGAGAUACGGCCCAGACUCCUACGGGAGGCAGCAGGGGGGAAUAUUGCACAAUGGGCGGAAGCCUGAUGCAGAAACGCCGCGUGCGGGAUGACGGCCUUCGGGUUGUAAACCGCUUUCGCCUGUGACGAAGCGGGAGUGACGGUAAUGGGUAAAGAAGCACCGGCUAACUACGUG
rnacentral:rRNA from 1 species